rnacentral:lncRNA from 1 species
CACUCCUAAGUGUACAUGCAACCCUAAAUACCUUGGAUCUAUGUUUUCUCUAUUAUACAUACAAAUAAGAACAUCCAAGGUAUAAUCCUAAUCUAGCAUACAAAACAAUGAGUGUAACAAGAUAGAAUACAUACCUCUUUGAUGUAGAAAGUCUUCAUGAAGCUUGAGUGCCUAGUGCCCCAAGUGUGACACCUCAAAUGGAAUCACAAUCACCAAAACACUUAGAAUAACUUGAGAGAAUUCUACAACUCAUGAAAUCGGCUAGCCCUUUCACUUCACACACUAGUGGCCGAUUUUGGUCAAGAAUAAGAUGCUUAUAUAGUUAGGGUUACACCAUGUAAACCCUAAUUGACAUGGCCUUUCAUUUCCAUGAUCCAUGGGUACAAAUACACCAUGGAGCAUCCAUGGACCAUCCUAUGGGUUUUAGCCCAACUUGAUUAUCCAUGGAGCAUUAGCCCACUAUACAAGUAUGGAUGAUUUACACAAUCAACCCAUAUAUUUAAUUAGUCUUCUUUUGAUCACUUAAUUAAUCCUAGAUUAAUUCUUGAUCAAUACUAAUUAAAUAAUCUUAUUAUUCUUAUUAUUAAUAUACUAGAACUUAUAAUAUAUUAAUAACCAUAAGUGUCUUAUUUCUCUCAUUAUAGUCUAUCCAAGUGCAUGAUGGUAUGCAACCCAAAUGGACCAUGCCGGGUCGGGUCAAGUCUUACCAAUUAUAGUUAUGGACUUAGACAUUAAUCCAACAGUCUCCCACUUGGAUAAGUCUAAAACUAUUAUUGCGUAUGACUUCAGGAACCAACUGGCAAUCGUAGCUCUCAAAAGCUUCUGUCGAACUCUGACCUUGUAGAUGAACUCUGACCUUUGUCAAUGACUUGUCCAUUAGAUAAGGGAUCAUAUAUUCCUCCAUUCUAGAUAUCAUAUGGACUGAGACAUGGAUUAUAAUCAUUCUCUCUGUCCAUUUGUUGUUUCCCGAUUUCCGAUUUAUGACGACUGACUAAUUGAACAAAUCAAAUCAGUCCUGGCCCGGCCGAGCACUUCCAUUUGUCAUCAUCAAAUCAUCGAGGGGCCCACAGAUAUCGCUUUUAUCCCGAAGGUAAAAGGAAUGGAUAAACUUCGACUCAUAUGGCUUGUUCUACUACUUGUUGAAUCAUACACAAAGGCACGUUUUAUAGCACCGAGUUACCAAAUGCGUUUUCGUGCAAUCAAUGUACUAUCAACUCAUAGUAACAACUCAUAUCUCUAGGUUUGAAGAAUAUAAGAUAUUAUCGUCUCAUGAUCACUCGUGAUAAAAUCCAUGAAGUGAUUCCAAUGAGCGCGGGUUGAAUCCAAUACUCAGAACUUAUGAGCACUCAUGAGUGUUGUAGCCCUUUGUCCAACACCUUAGACCUCUACAAGCCAACCCAUGACAGUCUUAAUUCAUAUCUACUUCCAACAUAUGACCGACUGUGGAUGGUUUGAAUAACUUAGUCAUUCCGGAAGAAUAACCCAGUUUAUUCGGGAAGUCAAAACAUGCAAAAUGAAACACAAUAAUAAUUGAAUCCAAUAUGGUAUCAACCCUUUGAACAUAAAUAAAACACCUUUUAUUUAUCACCAUAUGAUUACACAUUAUUCAUUGUAUACUGUUUCAGCUAUCAACUUUAUUCUUGAAUUUAAAACAAUAGUUGUCCCAUGCUCCAAGCAUGUACACUAUGUUUUCUUAAACACUAGUCAUGCCACACACCAAGUAUGCAUACUAUGUUUGUCUAUGAUCUUUACUUUGUGAACUAGAUCAAUUGAACAUAACUUCAAUGAUUCUCUUUUCACACUCCCAAAUCCUUACUGCAAAUGCAAGAAUUCCAAAUUCAUGCCAUUUACUGAAAUCUGUUAGAUUCUAAACUUAUAUGCAUUGAUCCUCUUGUAAUGAUUAUGCACAAAGUCACAAAGACUUGGCAACAAUCAUUACAGAGUAUUCCAAAGGAGAUCAACUCCUUGGAAAUAUCCUUCUUGCAUUAAGUUUCCUUAAUCUUACACAGAUUGAAAAUUCUAACUUUGAAACAUUUCCAGAUUCCAUUUUGACUAUCACUUCUGAACAAGAGUUGCCUCCUUACAGAUUAUGUCAAUAUGGUCCUUCCAGAAUUAUCACUAUACUUCCAAUUGUCCUUGAGUAACCAAUCUUUGGUAAACCUUAGAUUGUCCUCGACAAUUGUUUAAUCCUUUUAGUCAUAUCCAGUUCUAAACCUUUUCCCUUCUUAAUGCCCCAGGCAUUUGGAAAAUUUUAGAACGGAUGAAUAUAGCACAUGUAAUCGAUCCUAUAUCCGAAGCAUAUGGGACACGAUUCAUGAUGUCUUACAUAAAGACUAAACCAGUCUUUUGCUAUAAUAUUUCCAUUUCAAUUUGCCAAGUUCUCAUAAUUCAGAUUAUGAAAAGGGAUGCCGUAAUCAUAAUCGAAUUUUAGAACGCAAAUAAUGGACCCAUAUACAGAAUUUCCUUAUGUUGAGCCAUUCCAACAUGAAAUUCAUAUAUAUCCUUGACUAAAUGAUUAAAACCUCACGAUCUAAGCUUAUAGAUUUGAGAUGAAGCAUAAUUUCCUCUCCCUUAAUUAUAGCAAAACAACUUUUUCCCAAUUGAAACUUUUGUUUUCUAUAAUUAACAUUGCUAACUUGCAAUACUUAUCAUAAUUAUCAUGCUCCCACUAACAUGAUGAUUAUUAGCAUAACACUUAUGCUCCCACUAGCUUUGACAUGUACUCAGAAAUCAGCUGGACAGUCUGAAAUUUAGAUUCAUACACCCUUUCCGUAGAUAGCUCACCUGUGUGUCUAAGCAAUUUCAAGAACCAUGAAAAGGGAUACCGUAAUCAUGGUCUCAAUUGCUUAGGCAUUUGCCAUUUCUCACAAGUCCAUGUUAGUGUGCCGGUUAACCACACGCGCUCCACUAACGACUUUUGAAAAUGCAAAUAACACAAUUGAUAUCUUCGUAAAAUCUACUUAGUGAAAGCGUUUCCUCACCAUCAUUUUCAUGAAUCGGAGAGAAACCUUAUGACACUUAGAUUUAUAUGGUGUAUGAGUUCCUACCCAUAUGAAUUUGUCAAACCAUAAUCACAAGACAAAGAUAAUGACAAAUCCAAAACCAUAUGGAUUGAACUCAAUCUUAACUUCUUGCCACCUGGCAGCUCAAGGGCCUGCCAUUGCUUCCAAGUUGUUAUGCAACAAACUGAGAACUCUAAGAACUCAUAUGCAAAGCCAACUUUAACUGGAAUGGGCACAGAUAUGUCAACACGAUAGGUUAUAAACCUCAAGUCGUGUGCUAGUGAAGAACUUUAGGUUUUAUUCUUGAUUAUUUCUUGAGACUUUCAAGACCUUUAAGACUCCCACUGUCCUCUUGACAUAUAAGACUCCCUUGUCAAACAUCCAAGAGAUAGUGCGGAUUCUAAUCAAGAAAAACACUUUACCCAAUUGGCCUAAGUUGGUCUUUGUUUUAUCCAAAACAUCACAACUUACCAAUUUCAAAUGUACAAGAGUAGAAAACUUUUACUCUUACAUUUGACAAGUGUUUUAAACCUUCUUUAAGACAUGUCACUCAAAUGACAAUCUUGGAGUAUGACUCUAAGACUUGUAUUGGAACGAAGUAUGACUCAUCUUCUUGAUUUAACCAUUUCAACAAUUCAAGUUCCUCUUCUUAGUCAUAAGAAUGCACUAAGAUUUCCUUAGAGAACUAAUUUUGAUAUGGUUUCUUAAUCAUUAAGAUGAUCACAAAACUGAUACUAAAGUACUCUCCCAUCUUUUCAGAUUUGAGAAACUUUUAUCCUUCUGCCUUAUUUGAUUCUUCUUAUCGAUCUUUAGUGGUGGACUUAAUCAGUGCACAAGAAUGUGUACUCGAUCCCUAAGUCCUUUACUUGACUCACACAUCCAUGUGAACAAGUAAUUAGUCUUAAUUUUCCAAAACUUGAAAGUUCUCAUUCAUCAUGCUAUACAACUUGCAUGAUUCCAAGUUCCGGUCCAAUUGAAACUUGGGUGAUGAGAAUCUUUCCUUAUUUGGUAAAUUUAGACAUUACCACAAAUGAAAGAAUCAAUUUCAUAUUUCCACUCUUGCUCUUAAUGGAAUCAUAUAAGCAACAAUUUUUCCUCAAAUGCCAUUGUAAGGAUAUUUUAAAAUAAAUAAAAUAUAAAAAAUUUUCUUUUAUUUUAAAACUUUGCGGAAAAACUUAUCCUUACAAUCCAUAUGAAAACUUGUUGUUAUCUAUUCCUAAGCAAUAUCUCAUAACUCCUAAGAAGUAGCUCAAGAAUCCGAUCUUCAAACUAUGCGAUAGAAAUCCAUCUACGCCAUCAGAUUCAGCAUAUUCUUUCUUUAAGUUUCUUCACUUUUCUUUGAUUCUUAAAACAUCACCAUGUGACCCAGUCACAUCAUGUAUCAAGAAUCUCAGAAUAGAAACUUAACAGAGUUAGAUAGUGGACUUUACCUGAAGUAGAGUCAAACUUAUUGACUUUAACAUCCUUAGGUAAAUUUGGCAGCUUCGCAACCAAUGCCCCUUCCUUUGGCAAUAUAAACAUAUGGACCCUUUGAUAAUGGUACACGGGACUAUCACAGACUUAGCUUUUCUCUUUACCAUUUGGUCAACCGAGUUGACUAUGGCCGAUCCCUUUCCAUUGGGAAGAGAAUGCUUUACUGGAUAUCCAAUGUCAUCAUUGUCAAUGUCCAUAAAGUUUUAGGAAGUUGAUCUUAGCAAAUAGAUAAGAUCAUUAAGGGUCUUGUCAUAGUCUGUUUCAUAGGUGUCCCAAAGGAACUCACUAUGUGACUUAGAAAGUGGUUGAACCACCAACUUUCUCAAGACUUUGACACCCAACUCUCCCGGCUUGUCAAUAUGUGACUACAUCUCCAAGAUGUGACCACACCUAGACCUUGCCUUGCCAAUAGGGCCUGAGUGACCUUAAACUUUUCAAGAACUUGUGGGUUAGGGAGAAUAAUUUGAAGAGGUGAAGAAGUAUGAUAUCCAUGGGACAUCAUCUUCAUUAGGAAACCUUGUUUCAAGAGAUUUGGGAAGAUCAUAGGUGUCUAAACCAGACAUCUUUUGGGAGAUAUUCAAGAUAGUUGAUUUAAAGUCCUUAAUAUGACACCCAAUAUGAAAUAUUAAGGCUAGGACCCAACAAACUAUUUUAUAACUUAGAAGAGGUAUGCCGUAAUCCAAGCUAUAAAAUAUUUGAAGGUAGGUGAAUGACGAUUCACCAAUUUCCACCAAGAUAAACGAAAUGUAUUAUUAGGUUUUAAUUGGUUUUGAAACUCCUAGAUCUUUGAGAUUCAUUGAACUUUUCAAAGGCAUGUUUCAAUCUCGAGUGUGCCCUUCAGGUUUUGUGACUGGGAUGCCGAGGAUCACAAAACAAGGUGUGAAGUAACCAUGCAAAUCACUUGGUACCCUUAAUAAAUUACCCCUCAAUCGAUGUGCCGGUUAACCACACACGCUCCAUCGAUACUAUGAUAAAUAUUAAGUCACCCUUUACCUACCUUGUUAAGUCCAAGUUAGUGUGCCGGUUAACCACACACGCUCCACUAACGACUUAGACAAAGUGUAAAGUGUAAUUUCAUGGAUUAGCACCUUAUUCACAUUUUUCCUAAGUAACUAAGAUUGGGUAUUAUUAAGAGUUUAGUUACUUAGUAUUAUCAUUAAUACUUUUAAUGAAGGGAGAAUUCUAGUCCUGUCAAACCCGUUCGGCUAACGACCCUCCACCAGUCAAGCAAGCGGUGGGUGAGAGUGGACACCCAUUAAGUUGCCAUUUUAUAGGCAACAACCUUAUACCCACCUUAUAGACCGGCUUCGUGAAUGAGGCGUACUAGCGGUAAGACUGACUUUACUCUUAUACAUAUAUAUAUUAUUAACUUAUAAUAUUAUAAAGUAUAAGGGUUGAAUUUUAACUUUUAAAAUUCUAAGGGCUAACUUGGAAUUAAAGUAUUCAUACUUGAAAACUUUUCAAAUUCCAAAACUUGAGGGCAAGUUUUGAAACUAUUCAAAACUAAUUAAUUCCAUAACUUAUGUGUUUAAAGUAGUUUUAAUCCAAAAACUCUUCAAGUUCCAUAACUUGAGGACAAGUUAUGGAAGACUUUAAACUAAUAAAAGAACUAACUUUUUCUUUAUUUUAUAACUUAUGGAUUUAAUUAUGGUUACAUAUUUUUCUUUAAUGAAGUGACUCUUGAACUUCCAUAACUUGAGGACAAGUUAUGGAGUCAAAAAAAAUUAUUCAAUGACACAAGACUCUUCAUUUUGUAACCAUUGCCAACUUUUAUGAGUUUUAUGAGUCUUUAAUGUGACUCUUCAUGUAACUUGAGGACAAGUUACACAAACACAUUUUAUACUCAACUCUUAGAUUAAAAUGGAUUGAAAACAACUAUUUCACUCAACAUUUCUAUUAAUCUAAGCAACUCAUAAGAACAAGAUAAUUCAAAUCAAACUUUUUCAUGUAAUUAGUCUAAACCUUAAACUAAUACAAAACAUGAAUCUAUUGACAAUUAUCUUUGAAAAUGGAUUAGCAUGAACAUUACCACAUCAAAAACAAGUUUAUAAGUUCAAAAACAACUUAGGGUAAUGUUCCUAGUCCAUUUCUAGCCAAAAAACUCGAAAAUAUGCUGUCUGGGGGUCCAACUCGUCGAGUGCAUGAACCAACUCGGCGAGUUGGAUCGAAUUGAUCACAUUUUAGGCAUGGACUCGCCGAGUCCUCUGAUGGACUCGCCGAGUCUGAUGAUCAGACAGCACCAAAUUCGUUUUUUCAGCUUCUAUUGCAGGUAUAACAAGAAAACAAGCCUAGGCUCUGAUACCACUGUUGGGUUUUGAGCAUUCUAACACUCCUAAGUGUACAUGCAACCCUAAAUACCUUGGAUCUAUGUUUUCUCUAUUAUACAUGCAAAUAAGAACUUCCAAGGUAUUAUCCUAAUCUAGCAUACAAAACAAUGAGUGUAACAAGAUAGAAUACAUACCUCUUUGAUGUAGAAAGUCUUCAUGAAGCUUGAGUGCCUAGCCCCAAUAGUGUGGAAGCCUCAAAUGGAAUCACAAUCACCAAAACACUUAGAAUAACUUGAGAGAAUUCUACAACUCAUGAAAUCGGCUAGCCCUUUCACUUCACACACUAGUGACCGAUUUUGGUCAAGAAUAAGAUGCUUAUAUAGUUAGGGUUACACCAUGUAAACCCUAAUUGACAUGGCCUUUCAUUUCCAUGAUCCAUGGGUACAAAUACACCAUGGAGCAUCCAUGGAUCAUCCUAUGGGUUUUAGCCCAACUUGAUUAUCCAUGGAGCAUUAGCCCACUAUACAAGUAUGGAUGAUUUACACAAUCAACCCAU